GUCAAAUUAGCUUGACUGAGAAAGCUUUAGACUUUAGAACCUGAUGUCCCUGGUUCGAAAACGCUUUUCGCCAUCUUUUUAUUUACUCCUUUUUUGUGAUCUCUUCCUGAUAUUGGAAAAUAUUGACUGAGGUGUCACUAAAUUUGUUUUAAUUGUCACAUACAACAUAAUAUAUAAUUAAUUUUAAAAAACAUUCUAGAGCAGGGGUUAGUAAUCUUUAGAGUAGUUACGACCACUACGACCCGGGUUCGAUCCCCGCAUUGGACA